GACGAACGCUGGCGGCGUGCUUAACACAUGCAAGUCGAACGGAAAGGCCCUGCUUUUGUGGGGUGCUCGAGUGGCGAACGGGUGAGUAACACGUGAGUAACCUGCCCUUGACUUUGGGAUAACUUCAGGAAACUGGUGCUAAUACCGGAUAGGAGCUCCUGCUGCAUGGUGGUGGUUGGAAUGUGUCGGCGGUUGGGGAUGUUCUCGCGGCUUAUCAGCUUGUUGGUGGGGUGGUGGCUUACCAAGGCUUGGACGGGUAGCCGGCCUGGGAGGGUGACCGGCCACAUUGGGACUGAGAUCCGGCCCAGACUCCUACGGGAGGCAGCAGUGGGGAAUAUUGCACAAUGGGAGGAAGCCUGAUGCAGCAACGCCGCGUGCGGGAUAACGGCCUUCGGGUUGUAAACCGCUUUCGCCUGUGACGAAGCGUGAGUGACGGUAAUGGGUAAAGAAGCACCGGCUAACUACGUG
rnacentral:rRNA from 1 species